CCUACGGGAGGCAGCAGUGAGGAAUAUUGGUCAAUGGCCGGAAGGCUGAACCAGCCAAGCCGCGUGAAGGACGAAGGUGCCAAGCAUUGUACACUUCUUUUGUCAAGGGACAAAAUCCGGCUCGCGCGCCUGACCGCGGGUACUUUAAGAAAAAGCAUCGGCUAACUCCGUGCCAGCAGCCGCGGUAAUACGGAGGAUUCAAGCGUUAUCCGGAUUUAUUGGGUUUAAAGGGUGCGUAGGCGGUCGGAUAAGUUAGAGGUGAAAUCCCGAGGCUCAACUUCGGAAUUGCCUCUGAUACUGUGCGGCUAGAGAGUAGUUGCGGUAGGCGGAAUGUAUGGUGUAGCGGUGAAAUGCUUAGAGAUCAUACAGAACACCGAUUGCGAAGGCAGCUUACCAAGCUACUUCUGACGUUGAGGCACGAAAGCGUGGGGAGCAAACAGGAUUAGAUACCCUAGUAGUC
rnacentral:rRNA from 1 species